AAGCUAAAUGAGUGCAAUCAUAACCCCAUUUGCUGCUGAGUGUUGAUGACAAAGCAAAACACAAAACAAGUGCCUUUACUUUCUCAUUUUAUUAGCCAAAUCUGCUUAGCCAUUUUCUGAACCUUUCAGUGUUACAAUGCUCAUAACUUCUUCUAGAAAAAUGAUAUUAACAAUCCGUAAAUUGCUCCAAAAAAUAGACAUCUGUAGCUUUCCAAGAAUAUAAGGCUCAUUCUCUCAUUCAUUCUGAGCUGUUCGUAACAUGCUUCCAAAGUCAGCUAAUCUGCACAGGCAGUUUUGACGAAUUUGUUGGCUAUCCAUGUUUCUCUUUUGCACAUGCCUUGUAUAAUAUUGUCUCCAUGUUCUUGUGGUAGAAAUGUUAAGUAAUGAUGAAGGGUUACUGCUGCACAAGUGUGAAGGAUGGUGCUCAAGGCCUCUUUGCAUGUGUCUUUGUUGUCAUGUUAUCAUUAUUUCCACAUCCACAAGCUGUAACACUUGCACACACAUAUGCUCUUCAUUAUUCAGCCACAAUCAACACAUGUUCUCCAUCACAUGGCAGCUAUGAUGUUUGUUAGUUGUAGGUCACACACUUGCACACACAUAUGCUGAAUUCUAAUCUUCCCAAAACGUCCAUCAUCAUGUCUCCAAGUGCAUGUAAUCCAUUUCAGCCCAAAAUUGCUCCAAAAUGCACCAAAAUGCACUUUUCUUGCCAACUUUGUUAUUAGGACCUACCAACAUACGAAAAUGGCUUAAAACACUCUUAUAAGCAAUAACUAACUAAGUAAGUGCAAGAAAACAUGUUAACUAAGUCGCAUAAAUAUGCUCCUAUCAAAUUCCCCCGCACUUAGCUUUUGCUAGUCCUCGAGCAAAAUAAAGAAAACAAAACAACCUAAACCUUCCAACGUUUGCCUCAAGGAUUUCCAAUGCACAUGACAUGUUAAAAAUCAUUAUUCCCACAUAUUUUAGUUAUCUUCACACUUGAGCACAUACUUAAUCACAGUCACCACUUACUAGUUCACAUUUAACCAAUUAAAACGAUGUUUUGAAUGUAGUAACAUGUCUUAGAGAAUUUACUCAAUUCCUUACAAGAUACUCUCUAUUUUCACACAUUUUCUGACUACACGCCCUACACUAGUUAUAUGUGAGAAGAUUGAUGUAAACAUGAAAACGAAAACUCACAUAUAUGUAUAACAAAGAAAGCGAUUUUCUGGAGUUAUUAAGCAUGUUUUAGAUAUGAUCUCAUGAAUGGAAUGCUACUACUUAGAUGCAAGAACCAAUGACACCAUAUGCUCAUACCAAUUCCAAACUCCACAUAUUGAAACGCAUGACACUCAAGAUGAAGUUAAGGGUUGUAAUGGGGUUUAAGGGUAAUGGUUAAUAAAGAAAGGAUAGGGAUAACAAACAUUCUGAAAGCAAUAGCAAGCAACAUAAUGAAAUAGAUGCUUGGAAUUCACUUAAUAAUGCAAAAAUUAACUUUUAAACACAACAGGAAGAUUCAAGCAGUACUUAGGGCCGAAUUCAAUGUUUUGGAUCCUUUCUUCAACAAACAACACUUU
rnacentral:lncRNA from 1 species